UACGGGGGGAGCAAGCGUUGUUCGGAUUUACUGGGCGUAAAGGGCGCGUAGGCGGCCACUGCAAGUCGGUUGUGAAAUCUCCGGGCUUAACCCGGAAAGGUCAAUCGAUACUGCAGGGCUAGAGUGCGGAAGGGGGCAACUGGAAUUCUCGGUGUAGCGGUGAAAUGCGUAGAUAUCGAGAGGAACACCUGCGGCGAAGGCGGGUUGCUGGGCCGACACUGACGCUGACAGCGCGAAAGCUAGGGGAGCGAACGGG
rnacentral:rRNA from 1 species